AGACUGUAGUACAGUGUAGGUGUGGUCAACAAUUGAUGUAAUCAGACUGUAAUACAGUGUAGGUGUGGUCAACAAUUGAUGUAAUCAGACUAAUACAGUGUAGGUUUGGUCAACAAUUGAUGUAAUCAGACUGUAAUACAGUGUAGGUGUGGUCAACAAUUGAUGUAAUAAAGUGUAGGAGUGGUCACCAAUUGAUGUAAUACAGUGUAGGUUUGGUCAACAAUUGAUGUAAUACAGUGUAGGUGUGGUCAACAAUUGAUGUAAUCAGACUGUAAUACAGUGAAGGUGUGGUCAACAAUUGAUGUAAUACAGUGUAGGAGUGGUCACCAAUUGAUGUAAUACAGUGUAGGUUUGGUCAACAAUUGA